AUUGUUUAUAUAAAUUAUUAUAAAUAUAACCUGCUCAAUGAAAAAUUUUAAAUAGCUGCAAUUUUUGUACUAAGGUAGCAUAAUCAUUUGUUUUUUAAUUUUAAACUAGAAUGAAAGGUAAAACAAAUUAUUUCUUUAUUUUUUAUUUUAUUCCAAUUUAUAUUAAAUAUAAAAAUAUAUUUUUUUAAAAAAAAGACGACAAGACCCUAUUGAACUUUACUUUAGUUAAGCUGGGGAAGCUUAAUAAUAAACAUUUUAUUAAAAAUUUUAUAAAUGACCCAAAACAUUUGAUUAAUUAAUCAAGUUACCAUAGGGAUAACAGCGCAAUAAACUUUUAAAGUUCUUAUCUAAAAAUUUGUUUACGACCUCGAUGUUGAAUUAGAAACCUUUAUUAAGCAAAAAUAAUAAAAGUAGGUCUGUUCGACCUUUAAUAUUCUACAUGAU
rnacentral:rRNA from 1 species